UACGUAGGGUGCGAGCGUUAAUCGGAAUUACUGGGCGUAAAGCGUGCGCAGGCGGCUUACUAAGACAGGUGUGAAAGCCCCGAGCUUAACUUGGGAAUGGCGCUUGUGACUGGUAGGCUGGAGUGUGGCAGAGGGAGGUGGAAUUCCACGUGUAGCAGUGAAAUGCGUAGAGAUGUGGAGGAACACCGAUGGCGAAGGCAGGUCUCUGGGCUGACACUGACGCUCAUGCACGAAAGCGUGGGGAGCAAACAGG
rnacentral:rRNA from 1 species